AGUUGCCACUCCCCAGAUAAUUUCUCUCCUGUAUCCAAAGUGAUCAGUUUGAUUCUAAUUGGGUUGUAAUAAUGUCUGCGGUGGUUCGCCAUUUGAAUCUCGGAUCUCUUCUGGCACAGGACAGCAGCCAAGGCACAGAAAUCCUACCAACUCCCAGUCCCUUCUCCUGGACAGCCAACUCCGGUGGGGUCCCUGCUCUCUGCCACCUGUGCAGAGGCAGUGGGGAAGCUCUCAGGGUGUGGCAGGGGGAGGCCUAUUGUCACCUGGGCCGGUACAGGUGCUUUGGAGACCUGCCGCUGUACAACUGCCAUGGAGAUGCACUGAAAGGCUGCCCACCACCAGGCAGCAAGAGGCUCCAUGCUUAUGUGGAGCCCGAUAUUGCACCUGAAGGCAGCCCAACCCCCAAAAAGAGGAGGCUCAUGGUGUUAGGGACCUGGCUUCCUGGUGGUCUUCCCAGGCCAGAGAGAGCUCCCAGGAACUGAAGGUGGAGAUGUGAGACACCAAAAUCUCCUCCCUGGCCUUGAACAUCAGGCCCAAUUGUGGCCAAUUCCCACCUCUGCCCCUUUAGAUCAGUUGCUUUGCCUUGUCUCUCCCCCAUAGAGGCUCCUUCCCCACCUGUCCCUCACACCAGCCCCUUCAUCCUCACUUCCUCCAGUUUAAGCCCUAAAAUGACCUCAGCGCUGUGGUUCCUUCUCCACUCCCUACUUCCAGCCCCGUACGUGUCUCCUUCCUUGACCUGCCUCCAAACGCCAGCCCUGAAACAUGGCUUCUCUCCUUCCACUGCACUAACCACAAUCCCUACUGGAGGCUCCUCUUCUUCCAGGGCUUGAAUCCCAGCCCUCUCAGCUUCUUCUACACCUCCAUGUGCCAGAACAUCAGCCUUUCUGUGAGUCUCCUCUCCUGCCACACCCCUCAUACUACGUCCUCCUCCUCACUGCUGCCAGUAACACCAGGCCACGCAAAGCAGGGACCAAAGAGCCACCCGAGGAGGCCAUCAUUGUCAGGACCCGGAUGAGAGGGAUAUGCUGCUGCAAGGCAAGAAUGAGGCCUGGCUUCAUCCCUAAAUUUAACAUCAACGUCAGGUUGCUGUAUAGCGCUGCAAGGAGAAAAUCUCUACAGCUUCUCCAGAGAGCCUGGUUUCCGCUUCCAUCUCCCAUGACAUUAACAUCAAUGUCAGUUUAGAUCAAUGGAGGGACACUCUGCUCCCAUCCCCAAGAUCCUGAGGUCUGGCUCCAUCUCCAAUUUAACAUUAAUGCAAGACUGGAUUUCAGCCUGGCAGUGAUGGAUGUUCAGAGGACGCUACAAAGAUCCUCAAGCCUGACUCCAUCUGCCAAAUUACAUCUAUGCAAAGGUUGCUAGAUACAGCCAAGGAUAGUCUGCUACUGGUGGUGAUUGUCUUGGAGGGAUGAACUUCAGCACUGCUGCUGGGGAAAAGAUGAGGUCUUCUUCCACCCUUUCUAGUGCUCAAUAGCCCAACAGAGAGGAACGCUCUGUUACUGGGGAGAGUCUGGGCUCUAUAUCCAGAAGUCAAUCAUUGCCAUGAUGCAGUACAGCCCAGCAGGGAAGGAUGCUCUGCUAUGGUGCUGCCACAGGGACCAUGCCACCUCAAUAUUAACAUUACUGCCAGAUGCCUCUAUAGCCCUACAGGGAGGGAUGUUCUCCUGCUGUGGACUGCCUGAGGUCUGGCACUAUGUGUAAAACUGAUCUAAUUGCUGGAGUCCCCCACAGCCUUGCAGGGAGGGAAAUUCUGUGCUGCUGCUGUUGUUUCUCUGAAGACCCUGCAUUCUGGCUUCAUCCACAGAAGCCAUAUUUGUGGGUUCCUGCUGUGGGGGUUGUGCUACUGUGGUGGUGGUAAUUACCCCAUUCCCCACUGUGGAUCAUAUUGACUGGUUGCUGUUGGAACUGCCCCUUUGCCCCUCCUACCUGCCAA